CCUCAAAACCUGUCAGUGAUCUCUGACAUAUACUUCUGGAAUUUCUUAUUUCACAAACGCUAUUCAACUUCACCAUAAACUAUCUUCAUAAUAACAGUUUAGAAAUCAAAACAAACCAGAUUUGGCAGAUUAUGAAGAAUGUAAUUUUCUUCUCCAGGAAAGGUGAAGGUGACAAGUGUGGCUUAAUCCACAUAGAAAUGACUUCCAGGAAAAUCUGUUCCUGCAGAGCUCACACGCAUAGCAAAGCAGAGAAUAAACCCUGUGAGUCAAUCCCCCUUCUGAAUCUCAACAUAUAGGCUACAGAGAGCUGCUAUCAAGUUGCAAUAUGAUGGCUUCAUUUUUGUGGACAGGGGAUGCAGUGACUCAUUGGCAUAUUUGCAGCACAAGACGCAUUUGAAUAAUACAUGACAUGCCCUUUAGCUAGCAUCACAAUGCCAGAUUUAAAACAAGGUAGCCCCUUCUAAAGAUCUACACUUGUACAGAAGAUAAGCAGGUUAUGGAGACAGUCAUAAUACCUACAUUUAGCUGCAUGGAUACCUUUAAAAGAGUGAGAAAAUGCAUGUACCUAAGACAGGGCUGAAGGAACAGCUUUGGAAAUACAUCUAUCACGCUAAAACAAACAGCUUCUUUGUUUGACUUCAGAGAACUGAAGAGAAUCACCACACAUCCUGCAUCACUCCUGGAUUUCCCUAAGACAGCACUGUAAUUUCAAGUAAGACUUCUAAAACUUUUUGUGCUAUACUUAUUUAUGUUAUC